rnacentral:lncRNA from 1 species
AAAGCAAUACCUCUGCUGGUGACAAUAGCAUUUUUAUAAAAUACACCAAUCUGAUUGCAUUAAAGUAGACAAUUCGAAUCAAGAUCAGUGCUUACAGACUCUAGUGUUUGUUUUCAGGCCAGAUAGUUUGACUGCUCUAUUCUGGAACUCUGCCGUGAGGAUCAUUUGUGCACGUGAUCCUGAAAGUGUGUCUGGAUUGUUAUGGUGCCCUGAUAAACAUAUCUGGUGAGCUGCAGAAAUUAACAGAAGAUUUAAGCCAUGACUCAGAGUUUGUUUCGAAAGAUAAAAACUAAUAAGCCUAUCCCAGUACCUACUUUGGAUCAAAGUAAGUCUUUCUUCCCUCACUUCUAUAUCAAUUCAUUUUGUUUGUCAUCAAAAUAUAUUGAUAUUGUAAUUACUAUUCAUACCUAAAUGGAAUAGAAGAAAAUGCAGUAAAUUAUGCACAUUGUAUGU